CGGACGGGUGAGUAACACGUGGAUAACCUACCUAUAAGACUGGGAUAACUUCGGGAAACCGGAGCUAAUACCGGAUAAUAUAUUGAACCGCAUGGUUCAAUAGUGAAAGACGGUUUUGCUGUCGCUUAUAGAUGGAUCCGCGCCGCAUUAGCUAGUUGGUAAGGUAACGGCUUAACAAGGCAACGAUGCGUAGCCGACCUGAGAGGGUGAUCGGCCACACUGGAACUGAGACACGGUCCAG
rnacentral:rRNA from 1 species